CCCUUAGAUGUUCUGGGCUGCACGCGCGCUACACUGAUGCGCUCAACGAGUUUACGACCUUGCCCGGAAGGGUUGGGUAAUCUUUUUAAAACGCAUCGUGAUGGGGAUAGAUUAUUGCAAUUAUUAAUCUUUAACGAGGAAUUCCUAGUAAGCGCGAGUCAUCAGCUCGUGCUGAUUACGUCCCUGCCCUUUGUACACACCGCCCGUCGCUCCUACCGAUGAAUCGUCCGGUGAAGUUCACAGAGUGGCGGUUCGUGGAGUUGCUCGCGAAGUGAAAUGGACCUCACGAUUUAGAGGAAGGAGAAGUCGUAACA
rnacentral:rRNA from 1 species